rnacentral:rRNA from 1 species
GCGCACGGGUGAGUAACGCGUGGGAAUAUGCCCUUCGGUUCGGAAUAACACAGGGAAACUUGUGCUAAUACCGGAUACGAUCUACGGAUGAAAGAUUUAUCGCCGAGGGAGUAGCCCGCGUAGGAUUAGCUAGUUGGUGAGGUAAUGGCUCACCAAGGCGACGAUCCUUAGCUGGUCUGAGAGGAUGAUCAGCCACACUGGGACUGAGACACGGCCCAGACUCCUACGGGAGGCAGCAGUGGGGAAUAUUGGACAAUGGGCGAAAGCCUGAUCCAGCCAUGCCGCGUGAGUGAUGAAGGCCUUAGGGUUGUAAAGCUCUUUCGCCAGGGAAGAUAAUGACGGUACCUGGAAAAGAAGCCUCGGCUAACUCCGUGCCANCAGCCGCGGUAAGACGGAGGAGGCUAGCGUUGUUCGGAAUUACUGGGCGUAAAGCGUGCGCAGGUUG